rnacentral:rRNA from 1 species
AGUGAACGCUGGUGGUAGGCCUAACACAUGCAAGUCGAACGGCAGCACAGUAAGAGCUUGCUCUUACGGGUGGCGAGUGGCGGACGGGUGAGGAAUACAUCGGAAUCUACUUUUUCGUGGGGGAUAACGUAGGGAAACUUACGCUAAUACCGCAUACGACCUACGGGUGAAAGCAGGAGAUCUUCGGACCUUGCGCGAUUGAAUGAGCCGAUGUCGGAUUAGCUAGUUGGCGGGGUAAAGGCCCACCAAGGCGACGAUCCGUAGCUGGUCUGAGAGGAUGAUCAGCCACACUGGAACUGAGACACGGUCCAGACUCCUACGGGAGGCAGCAGUGGGGAAUAUUGGACAAUGGGCGCAAGCCUGAUCCAGCCAUACCGCGUGGGUGAAGAAGGCCUUCGGGUUGUAAAGCCCUUUUGUUGGGAAAGAAAAGCAGCAGGUUAAUACCCCGCUGUUCUGACGGUACCCAAAGAAUAAGCACCGGCUAACUUCGUG